AUAAGUGUGUCUCCUGGUGGUGCGCUGAGACGAUCACGGAACUCCGACUGGCUGACUGGCUGGCUGCGUGUUCCUGUGGCCUUAUAACCUUCGUGAUAUCUCCUGAGCUGCCUCACAUCGUCCACAGACUCGGCUGAUCGUGGACUCCUGGCGAACUUCAAGACUGGCUGCAUGGCUGACCGCUCUACUCCACGCGGGGCGGCGCUACUGACGACCACCACACCCCACCAGCGCCCCGUGGAAGUCGCCGCCCCGAGUAGCUGCACGAGCUGAACGUUACUCGGGGUGGCUAUUCCACGAGGCGUUGAGGGCUGCGGUGGGUUGGCGGUAGAGUCGCCCCGCGUGGGAGGGGGACGACUUGAUCAGUCACUCGUAAAAGGAAGUGGAGGGGAACUAAACGAGACAAAUCGCUGUUGUAUGUUCAAUAAAAGAAUGCAUAUGA